UGCCGGAAGACAGAAGACUUGGAAGGAUAAUGGGAUUUAAUGGGGCUGUACCCUUUGUCACAGAGGCUUACAAUCCCAUUUUAAAGCUCCAUAACUUUCCUUCUCCAAACCUCAGCUUUUAUUUCUCUUUCCCCCCAACUCGUUGACGUGAGACUUGGAUUACUACUUCUCAUUGGUUGCCCCCACAUACGUCGUUGCAGCGGGAGCCAUGCCUGAUUCGAGAUGGCUCGGGAGUCAGGAGAAAGUUUCUUCCUCUGCUUCACAUGAUUCCGUGGAGGCGGCACAGGAGGGGCCUCCACUUGUUGCAGGCUUUGGACUGCAAAUAGCUAGCGCUUGGACUUGCUGCACAAGCGCAUCGAAGUGCUCGAGUUGGACUU
rnacentral:lncRNA from 1 species